rnacentral:rRNA from 1 species
UACGUAGGGUGCGAGCGUUGUCCGGAAUUAUUGGGCGUAAAGGGCUCGUAGGCGGUCUGUCACGUCGGGAGUGAAAACUCAGGGCUUAACCCUGAGCCUGCUUCCGAUACGGGCAGACUAGAGGUAUGCAGGGGAGAACGGAAUUCCUGGUGUAGCGGUGAAAUGCGCAGAUAUCAGGAGGAACACCGGUGGCGAAGGCGGUUCUCUGGUCAUUACCUGACGCUGAGGAGCGAAAGUGUGGGGAGCUAACAGG